rnacentral:rRNA from 1 species
GCCCUGGCAGUCAGAGGCGAUGAAGGACGUGCUAAUCUGCGAAAAGCGCCGGCGAGGUGAUAUGAACCUUUGACCCGGCGAUGUCCGAAUGGGGAAACCCAGUGCAAUUCGUUGCACUAUCGUUAACUGAAUACAUAGGUUAACGAGGCGAACCGGGGGAACUGAAACAUCUAAGUACCCCGAGGAAAAGAAAUCAACCGAGAUUCCCCCAGUAGCGGCGAGCGAACGGGGAGCAGCCCAGAGUCUGAAUCAGCUUGUGUGUUAGUGGAAGCGUCUGGAAAGUCGCACGGUACAGGGUGACAGUC